rnacentral:tRNA from 2 species
GUGGGCGUAGCUCAGCAGGUAGAGCGCCGCGUUGUGGUCGCGGAUGUCGCGGGUUCAAGUCCCGUCGUCCACCCCA